UACGUAGGGGGCUAGCGUUAUCCGGAAUUACUGGGCGUAAAGGGUGCGUAGGCGGUCUUUCAAGCCAGAAGUGAAAGGCUACGGCUCAACCGUAGUAAGCUUUUGGAACUGUAAGACUUGAGUGCAGGAGAGGAGAGUGGAAUUCCUAGUGUAGCGGUGAAAUGCGUAGAUAUUAGGAGGAACACCAGUUGCGAAGGCGGCUCUCUGGACUGUAACUGACGCUGAGGCACGAAAGCGUGGGGAGCAAACAGGAUUAGAUACCCGCGUAGUCCCUGA
rnacentral:rRNA from 1 species